ensembl:lncRNA
GCUGAAACUGGGGGCACCCAGGCUCUGGCAUUAGUCCCUCAGCAUCCCGAAGGGUGGUCAAGGGAGCAGAGCCCUCUGGCCUGCUUCCUGCAAAACCAGGCGUCUCCAUUCUUAAUCCAGACCAGUGGGGGCUUUAGAAUUAGGUCUAUGCGGGUUCCAGAUUUCGGGACAGUGGCUGUGGCGGGGCCCAAACAGGAAGGGCAAACCUAGCCCCAGGUCCUGGAAAAGGUCUACUAGCCUCACGUGCUGAGCCCUCCAUGGGGUCCCUACUUCUUGUGAUGCUUGGUGGCUUGGACUCGCGGGAAGAACCCUGGCUAGCCUUCGCGGUUCCACAAACGCGCGCCCGGAACUCCGGGGUCACGGCUGGGGGAGCGCGCGAGGCCGCACCGCGCAUUCCGCGCAUUCCCGCCGGCCGGUGUUUCGCCGCCACGUGGUCGUCCUGAGCGCCGCGCUUACCGUAAAGCUUGGAGGCGACGCGCAGCCGUGGUUCGCGAGAGCCCGAGGACGCUCCCAAAGCCACUUCCUUGGGAUUCCAGCUUAUACUGAAGACCAACGGAGGCAUCCAGCAUCAUGGACUCAACGACUGUUAGAUUCCUGGACUUUCUGUUGGUACACUGCCAUUGUUGGAUUAGCUGGACCACAGCCGAUUGGCUUCAGGUUCCAGGCCCUUUCGCAGGCUGUGCUGAAGAGCCCCAGACAAUGUCUUGGGGACGGUGGGUUUGCCUUGACUUGGGGUAGGAGCUCCUGAAGCCACUCACGUUUGCAGACACUAUACAGGAGACACUGAGGGGAGGGGACAAGGUGAGGACUCACCUGGCAUGUCCCCUGCUCUCUCACUGUGAAGCCCUCCAGUCAGGACCUGCAGGGCUACUCUUCAAACAAGCUGGACAUGCAUGGCCCUGCACAAGCAUUCCACAGGAGAGGAGGGCCUCACUCUGCAGAGAGGGGAGGCCUCUGUCUUUCCCCUUCCAACAGUGAACUGUGGAAUUCUGGGCCCCCUUGGCUAUGCUAUUGUCUGGAGCCCAGAUCCAGAGGCUCAGGGGCUAGAGGCCAGUGCAAAUCGUGUGCCUGUCCUUCCCGGGAGGACUCCCAAACUUGGGGGAAACAUCAGGGACAGAAUCUAUACUCCACGUAGGGUGGGGGAGGAAAGCUCUCUUGCAAGAUGGGUUGAUGUAGAUGAGGCUGGAGAGGAUUUUGAAUGCAGCCUGAGGAAGUCUUUUGAGGCCCUAGGAAGCCACGGAAAGUUGGGGAGAAGAAGCAGUACCCUGGAACAUUGUAGAAUUGACUCCCUCUGGCAGAGCACCAGGGCUGAGCCUCUGUGGAACUUCUGCAUGGGAGCCAGGCAGACUGUUCCCUGUGACCCUGGGCUCUCUCACUUGAGAGGUUUCUAAGCAAUUAACCCCCUCAAACGGUGAGGAAACAGCUGGGCCUGGUUGGCACCUUGAAUCCCAGCAUUUGGGAAGCAAAGGCAGGUAGAUCUCUGAGUUCCAGGGCAGCCAGGAGAUCUUACUUGGAAAAAAAAAAGAACAAAAGGAAACUGAGGUUCAGAGUCACCUGAAUGGGGUCCUACAAUUUGGGGGCCCCAGGCAUCGGAAUGGCCCGGCUCUGCCUUGAGUUUGAGGCUAAAGCACACUGAACAAGGCAGAACGGGACUGGAGGCCUUAGUGAUAAACUCAGGUUGAUCUCCAAGCCCAUGCCAACUACAGCCAAUAGACUAGAUCAUCUCCUACAGAGCUCCAUCCAUCAGCUGUCACAGGGACAGUGUCAUCAUGUCGCAUGGCCUCUGGAAGACUCCACUGGAGGCUUUGGAAUGGACAGAAGAGACAGAGUGACAGGAAUCUCCUUAUGCACGCAAUUGCCUGUGGUUUGAACGUGUGCUCAGAGGCCAUGUGCCGGUAACCUGUUUCCCAGUGCAGCUGUGAUUUGGGGUGGGGCCCUAGGAUGGGCUUAAAUCGUCUCAGAGGAUCGAUCCAUUCACAAGAUGGUGGAGUGCUGGAACUAGCAGCUCAGCUGAGAACAUGAGCUCUCCCCUGCAGGACCAUUAUCUCAGAAGGAUCCCAUCUCAGCAUCUAUGACUCUUACCGAGUCUGACACAGCAUGAAACCCUUAACCAGAUGUGAACAGAUGUCUGCACCACACUUGUGAACUUCCAGCUUCCAGACACAAUGGGCCAAGCCAGCCUCUUUCCUGAAUGAAUUGUGCAGCCUCGCUGAGUCUGAUGGGACAUAAACAUAGCUGUCAUCCCAGCACUGGGGAAGUAGAGGCAGGAGGAUCAGGAAUUCGAAGUUCAUCCUUGGCUAUAUAUUAGAUUGGAGGGCAGCCUGAGCUAUAUGAGAACCUGUUUCAAAAAGCAACAACAAACAAACAAACAAACAGCUAACCAAGCGAGCCUCUCAUCACCACAGAUGAAUUCAGAGCUGAACGGACUGUUGAGAGGAUGACGUGGUUGAAGGAAAUAGAUCCUUAGAGGCAGCCCUGGAAAAUUCUUCCCUCUCUGCUUCCUGGCCAUUAGAAGUGUCCCACUAUGACACUGUACCAUGCCACAGGCUGCUGUGCUGCAACCAUGCAACCACAGUUGAAGCCUCUGGAUAAAUGAAUUUCUUUACCUGCUCCGCCCCCGGGAUGUAAAGCUGGAACCAAGGGUAUGCUUGCAACAUCUCUACGUCUCUGUCUCUGUCCAUCUAUCUGACUCUCUACCCAUUUUUCUCUGUGACAUCUCUAUUGCUGUCUCUCUCAAUCUUUAUGUCUCUACGAAUUGUUCUCUGUGUUUCUCUCCCUGUCUGUCUGCCUACCCACACUCUCAGCCUUAGUCUCUCUCCAUCUCCUUUCUUUACUUCCCACAGCCCAUGGAAGGAGAGUAUAACUGCUGUG